rnacentral:RNase_P_RNA from 2 species
GCAGCAGUUCUUUCUGUCGCUCUACUUUAUGUAGUGAGGAAAGUCGGGGCAACAAAGGGCGCCAUACUUCCUAACGGGAAGGGGCCGGAAGGGAGACGUUCCGGUAACAGCAAGUGCCACAGAAAAUAACCGCCGAUGUCGGAGCUGCAGUGGAGGCAAGACUGCCUUCGCCAAGGCUUCGGCAGGCAAGGGUGAAAAUGUGAGGUAAAAGCUCACGUCCCGGUGUGGCGACAUGCCGGGAGGGUAAACCUUAUGGGUUGAAAGGCCAUGUACAUCGCGGUCCCGUACGUACGGGAUAAUGGUUGCCCGCCCAAGUCCGCGAGGGGUCGGCCGUUAGAGUCACACGGCGACGUGUGAUCGAGAUAAAUGACAGAAGUCCGCCAUAGCCUUGGCGAAGGCGGAUAACAGGAUCCCGCUUACAGGACUGUUGCUAUU